rnacentral:rRNA from 1 species
GUCGAACGAAGUAGCAAUACUUAGUGGCAGACGGGUGAGUAACAUGUAGGUAUCUGCCCUUUGGUCUGGAAUAACACGAGGAAACUUGUGCUAAUACCGGAUAAGUCUUUACGGAGAAAGCUUUAUGCACCAUUGGAUGAGCCUGCACUUGAUUAGUUUGUUGGUGGGGUAAUGGCCUACCAAGACUGUGAUCAAUAGCUGAUUUGAGAGGAUGAUCAGCCACAUUGGGACUGAGACACGGCCCAAACUCCUACGGGAGGCAGCAGUGGGGAAUCUUGCACAAUGGAGGAAACUCUGAUGCAGCGAUGCCGCGUGAGUGAAGAAGGCCCUUGGGUUGUAAAGCUCUUUCGUCGGGGAAGAAAAUGACUGUACCCGAAUAAGAAGGUCCGGCUAACUUCGUGCCAGCAGCCGCGGUAAUACGAAGGGACCUAGCGUAGUUCGGAAUUACUGGGCUUAAAGAGUUCGUAGGUGGUUGAAAUAGUUGGUGGUGAAAUCCCAGAGCUUAACUCUGGAACUGCCAUCAAAACUUUUCAGCUAGAGUAUGAUAGAGGAAAGCAGAAUUUCUAGUGUAGAGGUGAAAUUCGUAGAUAUUAGAAAGAAUACCAAUUGCGAAGGCAGCUUUCUGGAUCAUUACUGACACUGAGGAACGAAAGCAUGGGUAGCGAAGAGGAUUAGAUACCCUCGUAGUCCAUGCCGUAAACGAUGUGUGUUAGACGUUGGAAAUUUAUUUUCAGUGUCGCAGGGAAACCGAUAAACACACCGCCUGGGGAGCACGACCGCAAGGUUAAAACUCAAAUGAAUUGACGGGGACCCGCACAAGUAGUGGAGCAUGUGGUUUAAUUCGAAGAUACGCGCAGAACCUUACCAACACUUGACAUGUUCGUCGCGACUCUAAGAGAUUAGAGUUUUCGGUUCGGCCGGACGAAACACAGGUGCUGCAUGGCUGUCGUCAGCUCGUGUCGUGAGAUGUUGGGUUAAGUCCCGCAACGAGCGCAACCCUCACUUUUAGUUGCCAUCAUUAAGUUGGGCACUC